rnacentral:rRNA from 1 species
AUUGGACGCUGGCGGCAUGCCUUACACAUGCAAGUCGAACGGCAGCACGGGAGCAAUCCUGGUGGCGAGUGGCGAACGGGUGAGUAAAGUAUCGGAACGUGCCCAGUCGUGGGGGAUAACGUAGCGAAAGUUACGCUAAUACCGCAUACGAUCUAUGGAUGAAGGCGGGGGAUCGCAAGACCUCGCGCGAUUGGAGCGGCCGAUAUCAGAUUAGGUAGUUGGUGGGGUAAAGGCUCACCAAGCCGACGAUCUGUAGCUGGUCUGAGAGGACGACCAGCCACACUGGGACUGAGACACGGCCCAGACUCCUACGGGAGGCAGCAGUGGGGAAUUUUGGACAAUGGGCGAAAGCCUGAUCCAGCCGUGCCGCGUGCAGGAUGAAGGCCUUCGGGUUGUAAACUGCUUUUGUACGGAACGAAAAGGUUUGGCCUAAUAAGCUGAGCUCAUGACGGUACCGUAAGAAUAAGCACCGGCUAACUACGUGCCAGCCGCCGCAGUAA